rnacentral:rRNA from 1 species
UACGAAGGGGGCUAGCGUUGCUCGGAAUUACUGGGCGUAAAGCGCACGUAGGCGGUCUUUUAAGUCGGGGGUGAAAUCCUGGAGCUCAACUCCAGAACUGCCUUCGAUACUGGAAGACUUGAGUCCGGGAGAGGUGAGUGGAACUGCGAGUGUAGAGGUGAAAUUCGUAGAUAUUCGCAAGAACACCAGUGGCGAAGGCGGCUCACUGGCCCGGUACUGACGUUGAGGUGCGAAAGCGUGGGGAGCAAACAGG